GAUGCGGAGCGAGUCGUAGCCGAUGAAGGGCUUCCAGGUCUUCUUGUCCUCCUUGUAGAACCAGCGUACCUCCUCCGGGCCCAGCUCCGUCACUACCUCAUAGCGGUGCCGGGCCGCCGGGCCGCCAAGCCGGAUCAUCUUCUCAGGUAAUAUGAUCCUGACCAGAGGGAGAUGGGUUGGGGCAUCUAUUCUAGUCCCCACCUGCCAGAAUAGGUGUCAGGUGGCUCCUCACCACUCUACAUCAUUAGUGUGUACAAUGGACACAGCAUUAUCUGAACUUCCAUGGCUCUAUGUAAAGCAUUCCAUUGUAUUUUAAUAAUUACGCAAGACAAGGCCUCUUUCACAUAAGGCAAAUAAGUGUGAUUGAUUCAGACUUCUGGCAUUACUGGGCCAUGCUGCCGCAAGAAACAGGUGCAUGUGGAAUCAAGCCUGACGGAGUUAUUGGUGUGCAGAAAAAAAAAAAGAAUCCAGGAACCCAUGAGAUUCUUUGGUGCCUACAAAUUCUGAUCUCCUUUAAAGGUCAUGAAAACUGUGAGAACCCCAUUAGAGCUAAAUGAGUUUUAAGGUUUCAAAAAUCUUAGGGCCCAGGCCCAGCUAAAGCACUUUAGGCACAAAGGAAACUCUGCCAUCCAGAGGGGAAAAGGGUCUGAUUUUUUCUCAUCUGUAAUAUGAGGAAAUUUGUUACCAGUGGCAAAUCUGUACACAUCUGCAGCAACCUCAAGUCUUGUCUCCUCAGAAGAAAGAAUUGAACUGAGGGGCAUAAGGCAGAAGGAGAGACUGAGGUGUUGUAUAAGAGGAGAACUUAGCUCUGAAUGGACUAGUAUACCUGAUCACCAGCAGCAGUUAAAAGAAGUGACUUUCACUCUCCGGCAUGAUUCUGAGGCCUCCCCAGCC
rnacentral:lncRNA from 1 species